UGGCCCAAAAAGUUUAGACGUGAC
rnacentral:siRNA from 1 species